GAUGAAGAACGUAGCGAAAUGCGAUAAGUAGUGUGAAUUGCAGAAUUCAGUGAAUCAUCGAAUCUUUGAACGCACAUUGCGCCCCUUGGUAUUCCAUGGGGCAUGCCUGUUCGAGCGUCAUUUGUACCUUCAAGCUUUGCUUGGUGUUGGGUGUUUGUCCCUCGGGACUCGCCUUAAAGUCAUUGGCAGCCAGUGUUUUGGUUUUGAAGCGCAGCACAAGUCGCGAUUCAAGGCUAUCCGCCCGCUUCGACAAGCCUUUUUCACUUUUGACCUCGGAUCAGGUAGGGAUACCCGCUGAACUUAAGCAUAUCAAUAAGCGGAGGA
rnacentral:misc_RNA from 1 species